rnacentral:rRNA from 1 species
UACAGAGGGGGCAAGCGUUAAUCGGAAUUACUGGGCGUAAAGCGUGCGCAGGCGGUUUUGUAAGUCUGUCGUGAAAUCCCCGGGCUCAACCUGGGAAUGGCGAUGGAGACUGCAAGGCUAGAGUUUGGCAGAGGGGGGUAGAAUUCCACGUGUAGCAGUGAAAUGCGUAGAUAUGUGGAGGAACACCGAUGGCGAAGGCAGCCCCCUGGGUCAAAACUGACGCUCAUGCACGAAAGCGUGGGGAGCAAACAGG